UGAUUAAAAUAAAAAUUACAUGCCAUUCGGCCCCACCUCCACUAUCAAAGUUGUGUCUUCCACUGAUUUCAUCGACCCCGAAAAACAGUGUCUUCGUCAUUGUUUGCAACUUUUCUUCUUCCCCACCUUCAUGCUCCUUCUUCUCGUCAAUAUCCACAACAUUAAUGAUCACUUCCUCAUGAAGUUUUGGGUUCGAAGGAGGAAAGGCGACAAAAAAUCCCCCAACACCACUCAAAUCCUUCAUCUCCCCUUCUCCUUCCAUCCCUUCUUUGUCAUGAUGCCUACUCCUGCUCUUUCAGUGCCGGUGCAGAUCUAUGCCUCCUCCCUCACCGGCCGAGUUUGACACAGUUGGAUCUCAGCUGUAAUCGGCUCACCGGACGAGUUUGUCAUGAUUGGAUCUCAGCUUCAAUCAAGCUCUCGUGGUAAUAGUGGUUCUGGCAACAUAGAUCUAACAACAUAGCUUCAAUCAAUAGUGCCCUUUGUAGAAUCAUCCCUGUUUUGGGAAAUUGAAGAAGAAAGGAGGAUUUUAUUUCAUUUUUUGGAGAAAUAUUUAUAACCGAAAGAAUUGGUUCAUUCAAAUUUUUUCUUAUGUUGUUCUGUUUGCAGGUCGGACGGAACUUUGGUAGAAAGAUUCAAGACUUUAAGGAACAAUAGUGGUAAUUACUUUGAUAGAAGGCUAGCUUUGAAUUGAGAAGUGAAAGUGUAAUGGUGAAUUGAGGGCAGUAUCGUAAUUGUAUUCGUUUUGUUUUAUUCCAAUCAAUAUCACAUGCCAAACAAAGAUUUUUAAUUCAAGUUUCACCUAAUAUCAAUAAAACCAAUAUCACGAUAUCAAUAAAACCAAUAUCACGAUAACUCGAAUGUCAUGUGGCUCCUUACUUAAAUGAUGGAAGAGAUAUUUUUGUCCCUUAUUUUAGUUCCAAGAUCAACUGGUCUUCUAUAUAUAUUUCAUUCUAUGACCCAACAAUUCAAUAUGCUUGAAUCCUGAAGAACAAUUCAAUAAG
rnacentral:lncRNA from 1 species